UUGAAGUAGCGUCUCUCAUACAAGAGAACAUACAACAAUACUAAGAACUUGUCAGACGACCCUGCGUGCUUUCAAAGGGAUGCGGGUGUGGGUGCUGGCAGGGACAAGGGCUCUUUACUCUUUAUGGAGAUGGCAUUAAUGCAACAAAAUACUAAGAAGUAGAUAAUGCUGGAAUGUGACUACAGACGAGACAAGUAGAACUGACUAGGGUCCAAGUGUCCACAAAGGGGAAGGGAUCAAAGGCAGUUCUGAGGUUCACUCUCUGAAGAAACUUAGGCAGAGACAUCCUGAUUCGUAGGAGACAAAGGCUUGGAGGACUGAUGAGCAGCACGGAAAUGCACAAGGAGCAGAGGAAGGGUGUGGUCCAUCCCGGACAGGCUGAGGUCUUAUGCUGAAGAUCGCCACCCAGUGGGGACACGGGAAAUUCCAGCCCAGGGUGCCCAGCUGUGACCUAAUGAGGAAGCCUGUGGAUGGGGACAGAAAGCUGGCUAACAUAAGAGUCACUGAAGACUUUCAUCUUUCCUCUAAUAAAAUGGAGUCAGACAUUGUGCUGGCUGGUUUUGAGGGUCAACUUGACUGACAAGAAGCUCAAGCCAGAGAGGAGGGAGCCUCAGUUGAGGAAAUGCCUCCAUGAGAUCCAGCUGUGAGACAUUUUCUCAUUAGUGAUCAACGAGGGAGCCUAAUAAGGAGAGUGCUGUCCCUGGUCUGGUGGUCCUGGGUUCUAUGAGAAAGAAAGCUGCUAAGCCAUGUUAAACAAGCCAGUUACCAGCACCCCUCCAUGCCCCCUGCACAGCUCCUGCCUGCAGGCUCCAGCCCUGCUUUAGUUCCUGUCCUGACUUCCUCCAAUGAUGGACCAUGAUCUGGAAGUGUAAGCUAAAUAAAGCCUUUCCUCCCCAACUUCCUUUUUGGCCAUGGUGUUUUGUUCCAGCAGUAAAAUCCCCAACGAAGACAUCAUCAUAACUGUUUAAUGAGAAUUUCGGCUUCUAUAUUGUUUGCUAUAUACCACUGUGAAAGAGCCAAGAGGAACAAGGGCUGGUGUUGUUCUUAUUUUACAAAUGAAGACACUGAAAUACACAGAAGUCAAGUUUUGCUCUCAGCUUCAUGGUUUUGAUCAUUUUUUCCCCAGUUAAUGUCCACAUGGCUUAGAAUGUUAUAUUCAAUUUUGACACUCUGAAGGAAUCAAGCUUUCUUGUUUUUAAGUAAAAUUUCUUUCAACUCAUGACCACAGAAUAUGAGGAUAAUACUCUCUUGGGGUGAGUGAUGGCUAUUUUCGGUUGUCAACUUGACGCUGUCUGGCAUGAACUACAAUCCAGAAAUGGAGGGCACACCUCUGAUCCAGAUCUUGAGUCGGGGAGAAAACACACCUUUGAUCUGGAUCUUGAGGCGGGAAGACACCAAGUUUGUGAUCUAAAUCUUGAGGUGAGAUGACGCACACCUUUAAUCCAGCCAGAUCUUCAGGCACGGCUUUAAUGUGGGCCAAAUCUUCUGCAGGAGGCCUACAUAAGGGCAAUGAAGAAGGAAGGGUUUGCUUUUCUUUGCCUGCUUGCAUUCCCUUUGCCAGCAUAUCCAUUGGGGACCACUUCUUCAGGAUCCCAGCUUAUCCUGAAGACCAGC
rnacentral:lncRNA from 1 species